CAUGCUAAGAAAACACAUCAAGCAAUACUGCUAAGCAUCUAACUUUUUUCCAAACAGCCGCCUUCCAGGCAGGGAGCAGGCCUGUCAUUUCAAGUAGUUUUUCAUCCCCUGCUCAAAAUCUAUAAAAAAAAUCUAUACGGUUUUAAGACAAACCUUCCCCCCCAAUAUAAUAAUCUUACAUAUAUAUUUUUUAAAAAAGCAUACAUAGAUACAGCGUGUGUCAGGAAAAGUGUCCCUGUGCUUUUGGCCAUCCUGCUCUGGGAAUAAAUAGCUUAUGCAUGAAGGAUGCAGGAAAAUUCUCCUCCUUGGAAUAGUUUCCUUCCCAGGGAGUACAGGAACCUGACCCAGAUCCCAAGGCAGCGGCAUUUGCAGCAAGCACCUUCGACAGGGGGAGCGACGGGGACUAUUUCUAUAUAAACAAGCCCAGGAUCAGCUGAAAUUGCUAUUCACUGGCAAACAAAAAUAAAGAGACAAUUCAGAAUCAAAGUUUGUCAUCAUGUCACUGGAGAGCAAAACAAAACCCCAGCCUGGCAUAGGCUGGGAAAGGAAAAACAGGAGAAGCCGUCUAUGCAGAAGAGAUUCUAGCUGAAGGAAAAGAAUCCCUGUACCUGAAGGCUGGCCAUGUUGUGCUGCACCUGACUUCUGGCUCACACACGAGACCGUCUGUUCUUUAUUUUCACUCUGUAUGAAGCUAAUGGAAUUUGCAGUUGAUUAACCUCAAACCUGAAGUAAUGAUCCAGCCUGGGACUGCAGCUGGCAAUGCCGGGGCUAUUUGUACUUCUUAACUGAGUAAGACAGCAACAAGUGUAGCGGCACAAAGGUAAAGAUCCCAGAUAGAUGGGUUAAUGUCAGAGGUGAAAUAAGGGAGUUGAGAAUGUGGCCUGAGAGCGCAUCCAGCAUCCCCCUCCCCAUGAAGAGAUGGGAGCACCAACUCUUUGAAAAAUUAAUCACAAGAUAAUAUAAUCAAAAGUAUAUGACUACACUUACUCAAUGGUAUUCUACAGGGGACACUCGAAACCCAAGAUUUACCCUUUCUGCACACUGAAUCUAUGCAUUAGAAAAAGGUCAUCUGAUGAAGAACAGCCUCUGUUGAAAUGCAGGAGACACAGGGUCCUAAAACUUCUCUACAACCUCUGUUUGUGUGAGAGAAAGCCAAGUCUUCAUUAGAUCGGCACCAGAAAAUAAAAUUCAGAAUGACACUGUAUUAUUUGUAUUUAUUUAUUUGUGCCGA